GGUGACCCCGGCUCGGCCUUCAAGGAUGCUGAACACGGUCUCUCAGUUCCUCCCGGGGUCACGGUGGCCCUCUCCCACCCCAGACCAACGUCCCAGCCAGCCCCUCCCCUCAUCACCUCUUUCCCUCUCCCCAAUUCAGUAAAACUCCUGAUUCGUGUGAGCUCACACAGCUCAAUAGCAUUUCUAUUCUCUGUCAGCGACUCCCAUUGAGGAAUUUGCUGCGAUUCAGGAGACGUUGCCGAUCCCAGGGAAAGGGGAUGACCCCGUCAGCUUUUUUUCCUGAGCUCAAUGUUUACUGUCGACAAGGUUUUUUUUCACAUGAUUUGCUGAUGGUGACAAGGGCUGUCAUCCUGGCAAAACAUCCCCAGCCAACACAGCAUUUCAAAAACAGAACUUUUUUGUUUCCCUCAGAAGCCACUGCGGAAGUAUACACUCAUCACCACACAAUCCAGCCAAUAGGGUGGAUGACAACCCAAUGUCAUUUGAGUGACUUUGGAGCUCAUUUAGGAGAUCCUAGACUAUUCCAGAAUAUGAUGAAAUCAGCACAAAGUCAUAGGUGAACAGUGUGUAGAGAACCUCCAUCAGAAGUAAAUAGUGCUUUUGUCCAAAGGAGGGUCAGUUUCUCUUACUAAAUGACUAUAAUAUCAUAGCUGGGUGGCUCAAUGGAUUGAGAGCCAGGUCUAGAGACAAAAGAUCCUGGGUUCAAAUAUGGCCUCAGACACUUCCCAGCUGUGUGACCCUAGGCAAGUCACUUACCCCCAUUGCCUAGCCCUUACCACUCUUCUGCCUUGGAGCCAAUACACAGUAUUGGUUCUAAGGUGGAAGGUAAGGGAUUAAAAAUGUUUUUAAUU
rnacentral:lncRNA from 1 species